CUGAUCUGGUUCGACAACUUCCACCACAUCUGGUGGAGUAUCAGUGACCACAAAGUACGUUGUACAAAAAUAGCAAUAGAAAAACACAAAGUCAAUCACACAUGUUUUAGACUACAGUAUAGGCAAUCAUUUUAUAUACAAUUGCAUUGUAUACCUCAGUAAACAGCUGCAACUCCCAUCCUUACAGUAGGUGAUAGGGUGAGUACUCUGGAGGCCUGGAAGAUGCUGUUGUGUGCAAAGAUAAUUACGAUAUAAUUUAAGAUAUUGAAAUGUCUGAUUAUGUACCAUGGAAAAACAAAAACUAAUUGUAAAAAUAAACUAACACAAACCAUUGCUGACAGAAAAUAACCUAUAACAACUCUACCUUGUUCCAGAGUUUACGACCUCGGUUACUCAAGAUGACCUCAGGAGAACCAUGGGUGUUUGAAGAUGUCCAUCAUCGCCUUGGAGGUGGCCUCGCCAGUCUGAGCUUAAUGGUUAUUGCCUCCACCCAAUUGGUAAAAUAAUCGGUCGCCAUCAGGCUAGACAGGUACUCAUCUUUAUGCACAAGCUGUCCACUUCCUUGACAAUCCCAUGCCAAAAGAAGUGUCUGUAGAUUUUGGCAAUCAUGCGCUUGACUCCGAAUGGCCAACAUGCAUCUCGGUCAGCAUGGUCUCCGUCUCCUCAGUGAAAAGUACCCUCCUGUGUGGCUGGCCAUCCUUCCCCCGGGGACACUAUUUGGCAUGACAGGCUCUUUGAUUUUUCAUUUGUUUUCCAUAAAUGACGACUGUAGUGGAAGGAUGAGAAGGGUGAUACUCCUGACUGGCUGGCGUUCCCAUGGAAGUCCUGGGGUCACUGACGAUAUGAAAAUGUGAAUCAACUAAAUUAAUGUUACUGUGUGAAUUAUAUUGUCAUGUUUGGAUUGUUAAAGAGUUCGUAAAGAGCUAUGAAUGUUGAUAUAUUUUUUUGCACUGUUCAUAGUGAGCGACACAAGGGUGCGCUCCUAUCAUUUAAAUAUAGCUGAUUAGAUUAGAAUCUUGUUGUGUUUUCCUUUCUUUGACUUCCCCGCGCCUUAUGUGUACACAAUUCUUCUAAAUGUAAUACUAUUAAUAAGCUUGAAAUGUUUUCCUAUUAUUUCGCAUAGGUUAAUCACUGUGAUGAAUUAUAUUUACUAUCUUCUGCUGUUUUAUGAAUAAACAGGCAUGGGUAAAAACAACAACAAAAACGUUUCGAUGCUCCGCAUAGGCCCUUUAAUUUUUCAUUUGUUUUCCAUGAAUGAUGACUGUAUAGUGGAAGAUUGAGAGAAGAUGAUAUACUCGCGACUGGUGACUGGCUGGCGUGCAAAGCCCAGCAUGAUGACUCAAUCAUGAUUUAUUACAUUGUCUGGAUGGCAGACCACCUGUGGGCUAUCACAAGGUUCAAACAUACCUUAUCUGUGGCGAUCUCUAAGAAGAGGCCUUCUCAUGGAAGUCCUUGGGUCACUGGACGCCAGGGGAGGUGCGAAGACAGAUCAACGAAAUUAAUGUUACUGUGUAAAUUAAAUUGUCAUGUUUGAAUUUCUCAAGAGUUCACAAAGAGUCACGAAUUUGUAUAUAUUUUAUUGUACUGUAAGUGCUAUGGAUAUAUUGUUACACGGAGUGUUAUUUUGUUCGUCGGGCAGCCGAUAGUUCAACGAGGGAGUGACACAAUGCGCUCCUAUCAUUUACAUUGAGUUUAUUAGAUUCGAAUCUGGCUGUGAUUUCCUGUCUUUCGUUAAAACUAGCAUAGUGCAAAGAAAUGUUAAUUCGAGUUGUGCGUGAGUUUCUGAUUGAAUUUGGUUAAAAGGACAGUGAAUUUGUUCAUACUUUGAGAACUUGCUACCAAGCUCGUGUGUAUCAGAAAAAAACAUUGUGUUUUCUCUUAGAGACUAUUCUGAACUGAAGACGUGUUACCACGUUGUUUUAGCCUAUUGGUGAUAGUCAUAUACUCUGUAAUUCUGUAAUGUAUAAUGUAUUUCAUGUACACUGUAAUUGUCUGAGUGUCAAUUCUUUCAUCCUAUUAGUUAAAUAGAGUAACUGCAUUCCUCGUUUUACAGAGUAAUUAUUUGAUUGACCAAAUGCUUAUAAUUUAGAAGGUCUAUUGGUAGUUGUUAUUUACACAUACCGUAGCAUACUCUUGGGUACCACCUUGACAUCUCUGAUCUGCUUGCCUCAAUUAAUUAAUAUUAGAACAUUGGUUGCCAGGAUUAGUUAUUUGUAUCAAGUCUCUUAAUAAUUGCAUAACGGUGUAAGUUAGAAAUGUUCAUUAUAGUCAUACUGAGUCAGUGAUACAAUGAUUCACUAUCUUGCUAGAUCCUCCAGAGAUGCACAGGGCCUGUGGAUUUUUUUUUUUUUACAGAAAACCACGGCAAUAAAGGUGCUAUCUAGAUCCUAAAAUGAUUAUUCCGCUGUCCCCAUAGGAGAACCCUUUUUUUUCCAGGUAGAACCCUUUGGUGCCUAGGUAGAACAAUGUUGUGUUCCAUCCUACAGAUGGUUCUACAUGGAACCCAAAAGGGUUGUUACUCGAUCCAAAAAGGGUUCUUUAAAGGGUGCUCCCAUGGUAACUGCCGUAUAACCCUUUGGAACCGCUUUUUCAACGAGUUCAACCUGUUCAGUUUACACCAUUUCAUGUCUACUCCAACAUCUGCCUGGUAUUCAAAAUAAAACGACAUAAACACCACCACCUUUGAACGUUUUCGUCAACCUCUGCUCAGACUUAAAUAGCAGUGUCCCAAGAACCUCCUCCUGUAGUGACUGUAGCAUCCUCAAACUGUCCACCUUCUUCUACCAAACUGCCUUCUCAUACAAAGCAAUAAAUACAUGAAAUGGCCUCAUCUGAACAUGGAUCAAGUCCAAUCAGACGUGCGCACACUGAAUUUGAUCUAAUAGGUAACAGUGAUAUUUUUAAUGCAAUAGAAUACACACUAAAAACACAUUACAUUUCAAUAGGUGCAAUAAGUUAGUUUGAUUACUUUGAUUAGAUUAUGUGUUUGUGUCUUUUACAAGUCAAAUGUACACUAGCCUACUCCACUAUCGACACAGUAAAUAAUAUUGCCUACGUGCUUUCGACAAUGCGUUAUCAACUCGUUAUCAACAAAAAAGUACUUGGACUUAUAAACACAGUAGGCCUAGAUAUUUCCUAACGAUAUCACAACUUAAAUAUAGCCUACUUAGUCCUCAAUUGGAUCAAGGACAUCUUGGUCAUUCUUUUCAUCAUCUCUAAAGAAACUAUCUUGGGCAGACACUCGAAAAUAAAUUAAUGUCUGUGUCGCUGCUGUGCUCUCAAAUACCGUGCCCGUCUCUCACUCUAUCUGGAUUCCCUGGGAAGUCCUUACCCUAAACCAUAAACUAACAUUAAACUAAACCAUGUUACAUUUAUUCUUGCCUCGUAGCCUAGUGGUUAGAGCAUUGUGCCAGUAACCAAAAGGUUGCUAGAUUGAAUCCCUGAGCUGACAAGGUAAAAAAAAAAAAUCUGUCGUUCUGCAACCUGAACAAGGCAGUUAACCCACUGUCCCUAGGCCAUCAUUGUUAAGAAGAAUUUGUUCUUAACUGACUUGCCGAGUUAAAAAUAAAAAAUAAAAAAAAAAUAGAGGUAGGAACAUCCC
rnacentral:lncRNA from 1 species